GAUGAACGCUAGCGGCAGGCCUAAUACAUGCAAGUCGAACGAGAUUAAGAGGCUUGCUUCUUAUGAAAGUGGCGCACGGGUGCGUAACGCGUAUGCAACCUACCUUAAUCAGGGGGAUAGCCCGAAGAAAUUCGGAUUAAGACCGCAUAAAAACACAGGAUAGCAUUAUCCAAUGUUCAAAUAUUUAUAGGAUUAAGAUGGGCAUGCGUGUCAUUAGCUAGUUGGCGGGGUAACGGCCCACCAAGGCGACGAUGACUAGGGGAUCUGAGAGGAUGACCCCCCACAAUGGUACUGAGACACGGACCAGACUCCUACGGGAGGCAGCAGUAAGGAAUAUUGGUCAAUGGAGGGAACUCUGAACCAGCCAUGCCGCGUGCAGGAAGACAGCCCUCUGGGUCGUAAACUGCUUUUAUUCGGGAAUAAACCUUUCUACGUGUAGGAAGCUGAAUGUACCGAAGGAAUAAGGAUCGGCUAACUCCGUG
rnacentral:rRNA from 1 species